UGCAUGUCUGAGUACAGACCGAUCUAAGGUGAAACCGCGAAUGGCUCAUUAAAUCAGUCGUAAUUUCUUGGAUAGUGAAAAACUUUCCUCGGAUAACUGUGGAAAAUCCAGAGCUAAUACGUGCAACUGAGCUCCGACCUAGGCGCGAGCCUUGGGAAGAGCGCAUUUAUUAGAUUCAAAACUGACCGGCGUACUCCUUCGGGAUACGUCGUUCGUCAAAUGUUUGAUGACUCCGGAUAACUUAGCCGAGCGCUACGGUCUUUAGUACCGGCGCCGUAUCUUUCAAGUGUCUGCCUUAUCAGCUUUCGAUUGUAGGUUAAACGCCUACAAUGGCUGUAACGGGUAACGGGGAAUCAGGGUUCGAUUCCGGAGAGGGAGCCUGAGAAACGGCUACCACAUCUAAGGAAGGCAGCAGGCACGCAAAUUACCCACUCCCAGCCCGGGGAGGUAGUGACGAAAAAUAACCGAUGCGAGACUCUUCCGAGGCCUCGCAAUCGGAAUGA
rnacentral:rRNA from 1 species